UGUGUCCUACGGGAGGCAGCAGUGGGGAAUCUUCCGCAAUGGGCGCAAGCCUGACGGAGCAAUGCCGCGUGAACGAAGAAGGUCUUCGGAUUGUAAAGUUCUGUCCUUAUCGAAGAGAGGGUAUAGAGUGAAAAAUGAUAUACUAGGACGGUAGAUGAGGAGGAAGCCCCGGCUAACUACGUGCCAGCAGCCGCGGUAAUACGUAGGGGGCGAGCGUUGUCCGGAUUUAUUGGGUUUAAAGGGUGCGUAGGCGGAUUUUUAAGUCAGCGGUAAAAUGUCCGGGCUCAACCCGGGCCGGCCGUUGA
rnacentral:rRNA from 1 species